rnacentral:rRNA from 1 species
UACGUAGGGUGCGAGCGUUAAUCGGAAUUACUGGGCGUAAAGCGUGCGCAGGCGGCGACACAAGACAGAUGUGAAAUCCCCGGGCUUAACCUGGGAACUGCGUUUGUGACUGUGUUGCUAGAGUGCGGCAGAGGGGGGUGGAAUUCCACGUGUAGCAGUGAAAUGCGUAGAGAUGUGGAGGAACACCGAUGGCGAAGGCAGCCCCCUGGGUCGACACUGACGCUCAUGCACGAAAGCGUGGGGAGCAAACAGG